rnacentral:rRNA from 1 species
ACACUCCUGCGGGAGGCAGCAGUGGGGAAUUUUGGACAAUGGGCGAAAGCCUGAUCCAGCAAUGCCGCGUGAGUGAAGAAGGCCUUCGGGUUGUAAAGCUCUUUUGUCAGGGAAGAAACGGUGAGAGCUAAUAUCUUUUGCUAAUGACGGUACCUGAAGAAUAAGCACCGGCUAACUACGUGCCAGCAGCCGCGGUAAUACGUAGGGUGCAAGCGUUAAUCGGAAUCACUGGGCGUAAAGCGUGCGCAGGCGGUUUUGUAAGUCUGAUGUGAAAUCCCCGGGCUCAACCUGGGAAUUGCAUUGGAGACUGCAAGGCUAGAAUCUGGCAGAGGGGGGUAGAAUUCCACGUGUAGCAGUGAAAUGCGUAGAUAUGUGGAGGAACACCGAUGGCGAAGGCAGCCCCCUGGGUCAAGAUUGACGCUCAUGCACGAAAGCGUGGGGAGCAAACAGGAUUAGAAACCCCUGUAGUCCCAUGA